CAGUAGCCGCGGUAAUACGGAGGGUGCAAACGUUGCUCGGAAUUAUUGGGCGUAAAGCGCAUGUAGGCGGCCGAAUAAGUCGGGUGUGAAAGCCCAGGGCUUAACCCUGGAAGUGUACUCGAAACUGCUCGGCUUGAAUAUGGAAGAGGGUCGCGGAAUUCCCGGUGUAGAGGUGAAAUUCGUAGAUAUCGGGAGGAACACCAGUGGCGAAGGCGGCGACCUGGGCCAAUAUCGACGCUGAGAUACGAAAGCGUGGGGAGCAAACAGGAUUAGAUACCCCCGUAGUCCCUGUCUCUUAUAC
rnacentral:rRNA from 1 species